GUGCUCGCUCCGGCAGCACACAGACUAAAAUCGGAACGGUACAGAGAAGAGCGCCAUGGCCCCUGCGCAAGGAUGACACACAAAUCCGUGAAGAGUUCCAUAUUACA
ensembl:snRNA U6 U6 spliceosomal RNA